CCUAGGGCCAUGUAACGGGGGGAUCCCCGAGUGAAAUUCAAAAUUUAAUACACUUCGUUUUUCCAACCACUGUUGAGUAACCACAUCUUUCGACGUAUGCGGUUGUCGUUUCGACAACAGUUUUAUAGUUUGCAAUGAAAUAACGGAUUAAGUGCAACACUAUUCCCGGUGGCAGUUUUAUCCUUUCCGAUGAUGCAUCCACUAAGCUUACUAGAUCUCUCUUGGAAGAAGAUUAUGAGGUACACUGGUUUGUGUGAAGGAUUGGAGCUCGCCUAUUUGGAGUGGAGAACAACUACCAACAAAAGAGCACCAAUGGACUUUCUGGGCAAGAAAUGGAGGAACACUCUUGUGCAUGAUUACUGGAGAUUGUUCAAUCUCCGGUACCUCUUGAAAAACUCUAAUGUUAAUUUGUUUUAUCUAUAGACUAUUGUUUAUUGCAUUAGGUUUAAUUUGUGGGUCUUAGUCUUAGAAACCAAGAGUUAUAUUAUAUCUUACAAUAUUAGAAAAUAUGGCAUGAUCAUUGGGAGUAAUCAUAUUUGCUAAGUAUUAAAUGGCUAGAUUCUCGGUGAUUGAAUACACUAUGAGGUUCAUGUAUAUAAAGGAGUUUUGGAUAAGCAAAGGGAAGAAUGGAGGAAUUGUUAGUUUAUCACAUGAAAGGAGUUAUUGGGCUUUCUUUGUGUUGACUAUGGAGAGCAUGAAGAAACUAAAUUGAUUUAUACGUUAGGUCUUAUGUAGCCUUAAAACUAUGCUACCUCACUUAAAAAUGAAGAGGAGUUGACUCGAUACAUAGUUCAAAUCGAAAAUCAACAACUAGUCUUGAAGGCUCAAUGGGCCGAUAAUAGUUUGUCAUUGUUUUAUCGAUUGCAGUUGACCCAGAUUGAAUUUUGAGGUAUCGUAUGCAAAUCUGUUGGUUGUUUGAAGUUUGCACAAUCUCAGGAGGCCAAAUUGGAUUCAAGGACAUAUUCAACAGGAACUUGUUAUUUCUUAGUCGAUGGAUGAUGUGGUGACACUAAGAAACUUUGAAGGUAGGAUUUGACCAGUUCCCUCACAUAGUGGAAAAGAAGGGACUGGAUUAGGGUUCAACCGGAAAACAACGAAGCCAGAGGUUGGAACGGUUUAGUUGAAUAGAAAGACUGGACAUGUAAUUGAACCGCUUUGGACCGCUCGAACCAUUCGGUUUUGAGGUGAACCGGGCAAUAUGCCACAUCUGGUCGGAUUGGACUAAGGCAGGUCAACGAGUGAAGGGGCCACCAGAUGGUCCAAUUAGUUUUGGGCCUCACAACACCUUUUUUUUGUUUUUGGCAAAAAAUCCCAUGAAAAGGCAUGUGAAUGGGGAGUCGAACUUAGAUCGAUAGGUUGAAAGCAAACUCAUGUAGCCAUCCUACCAUUUAGGUGAAUGUGUUAGUGUUGAAACAUGUACACAACAUGUAUGCUAGUGAACCGCGGUUCGAUCGCCGAUCCAUCGGUCAUAUCAUUAGACCAGCAAAAAGGUUGACCGGGUCACCAACCGGUCGGGCUUUUUCCACUAUGUUCCCCAAUCAUCUUCAUUGGUCCUCUGUAAAUUGAAUGCAUAUGUGCUUCCUUUUCGUGAAUUUGCACAAGCGCUUGCAAAAAACAAAACACACAAUACUCAUGGCGCAAUACCAUUUUCUCAAAUAUAUAAAAAUCGAAUCUAACUAUAAAACAUGCUCUUUUGUUCAUUGUUGUGUAACAUAGUUAUGGUCAUUUAUGGGCUGGCGAUGGCAUCACAAGUUUCCAGAAGUCGGUGGUGUCACACACAGGGGGCAAGCCCAGGUGGACACCAAACUAGUCCUAGAAUUGGUUUAGAAGUGAAGAUUGUGCAACAGAUAUAGAAUGUUGUGCAUGUGAAAAACCUGGAUUUCUCCACUAUGGAAGGCCUAUCAUUGAAGGUGUUAAAUGGAGGUCCCCAAGUAAAAUUGAAGAUUAGCAUUAAGUAAAUAAAUAUUCCAAAUGGUAGUCCAGCCACCAUAUCUGAUUGUAUUUAUUUCCCAGAUGAUUUGCUCUUCCAUUGUCGCAAGCGUAUCUGAUUAUAUCCGAAGAAAUAACCAAUGAAAAAUCUUUUAUGUUAAUCACUAGAGCCAUGCACGACAACCAAUACUAACAAUUUUGAGCUGUCCAAUCAUUUGUUAGUAUCUCUAGAUUCACUAAACAGAUACAUCACAUGAAAAGCGUUCAUGUUUACACCUAUAUAUAAAUAAAUGUGUGGGCAAAUAAAGCCACCAAAGCAACAUACCACCAGAGCAACAUGGAGAGACCAAGGAAGAGAAGGUUCCAGUUGUGACCGAUGACUCUCAUAGCCUGACAUUCCGCUGCAUCAUAUGCAUGGAAUAUAGGCCUAAGCAUAGCCACUUCCGCUGCAAAGGUUGUCUCCACUAUUUCUGGUUCAACUGUAUUGUAGAUCAUAUUAGUUACCAUGUAAUUAGGGGUGAUAUCCCUGUUCAUUGCUCUGUGCCUGGAUCCAAUAUUGGUGACUUACCUAUGAGAUGUGGUACAAGCAUAUCUUGGAUGAUGUGCGAAAUGCUUCGAAAGUUGCACUUCUAAGGGAAUAUUCAGUGUUAAGGUAUGGUAGUUGUGGGAAAUUUUUGGAAUGGAUCACCGGAAGGAAUGGUGGUUGUCAAGGAUGACUACCUUGAUGCGAUGCAUAGAUUGGUUGUUUCAAAAGGUUGGCGGCCGUUCCCUAUCCGUGACAUAUUCAUUUAUCUGCUGGAGGAUAUAUCAUCUUAACUUGUUGGUAAACAUUCUAGUUGUCUUUCUUUUAAGUUUUCUUGUCGACAUGACUCUGGUGUGCCUGUUUGGGUUGAAUAUCUGAUUGUUAGUUUGCUAGUAGUAGUUUAUCUCAACUAAGAGUAAUCUCACAUGUUUGUAGCAUAGUAAUACUUACAUGUAGAGAUGUGUCUCGAUAGUUUUUGUAUGUAAUUUAGUCCAUUUGGCCUUCUUCUAUUGAUGGAGACUUUACAUCUAGACGAUGGGUAGUAGUUGAAUUUGAUUGAAGAUAUGGAUCUUUUGAAAGGGUUGAUUAGGGCCUGCCAUUUUUCUUCUUUUCUGCACACUUAUUUUCUCUAGUUUAGCAUUGCGCGAAACCUAUUUUUAGCUAUGAGAAAUUGAUAUAUCUUUGUAGUUAAAGUAUGAGUAUGCUGAUUUGAGUUUCCGGCAACAUAUAACAAUUUACAGUACUUUUGUGGAUGAUUUGAUGAUGCUUCAUCCAAAUGUAGUCAUGCAUCUUAAUCAAAAGAGACUAUAGCUUUGCAUUUUUAGUUCAUUCUUUACCAACAGUAGCAUUUCAUAUUAUCAUGUCUCUGAAGGCUUAGGCCUAACCUGGAACAACUAAACUAUCUGGAUCAUAACUCUAUAUGUUUGUAAAAACCUUUAGUUUGGUACCAAAAAAAAUAAUGAUAUGCAUUGUAGUGCUUUUUGUUGGUUUUCUAAGAUCAAGAUGAAUUUCUUUCAUGACAAAUAGUAAUAGACAGCAACAUAAUAGAAUAGACCAAAGGAGUUGCAUUUUCAUAUAUUUCACAAGCAUAGACUCCCAUAACAGAAUACACCAAAGGAGCUGCAUUUUCAUAUAUUUCACAAGCAUAGACUCCCAUACUUGUUUUCAUAGAGGGCUACAUGUCCAGUUACAGGACUUUUAGGCGGUUGUUACAGUAAUCGACCUACAGUGGCUUUUUAUAGCUCAAAACUAUAGCUUGCUACCAAGCACAAGCUACCAACAAAACUACUAGUACACUGUACAACCUUGCUAACUAGUAAAAUUUUCUUUGCAUCCUACCAUGCCACCAUACAAAAGCAUACAACUCACUUGUGUAUUCUAGAGCCCAUUAUCACUCAUUUACAACUAAGCUAAGCUAAUUUGUGCCAGAAACUUAAGCAGCAAUAAGCAACCAAAUUAACCAACUAGUAGUAUUAUGCAAUUUGACUAAUUCCUAUUUAAGAGAAUAAUCCAACACUUCUCUCGGUAUUUUUUUGGAUGCGAUGGCUAAAGCUCACUAUAUAUCUGCUCUUUUUGCACUGUAUAAAAUCAAUUUAUCUCAGUGUUUGUUCCACAAUCCAUCUAUUGCUUUGAUUCUAUUUUAAGUUGCCUAAACUUCCCAACACCAAUUAGCUGCCACCUUACAAUGGAUUUCAUUAUUGGUUUGUGAUUAAUAUAUCAGAAGGUUCAAAGAAAACAUGAUGAAUUUGUGCAAGAUCAAAGACAUGUAUUGUUGUCCACUAAUUGGUUGAUGAAGAAAUCAUUGUUAUUUAAUUUCACUUCUCUGAUUCUUGCACGGGGAAAUAUUCAGUGAAAACCUUCGAAUAAGUGAAAACCAUACCUAAAAGUUCUCUAAAUUCAUAAAAAAAAUCUAGAGAUAGGUAUAGGCAUAACAUAUAUUCAUACCAAAUCUAUAGUCCAAACUCAACUUCAUUUGAGAGCAAUGGAAAAAGACAAAAUUCAGUUGAUUAGUGUCAUGUUACUAUUUACCCAAAAUUUGUUUUUUUACUCCCAAGUAAAGUUGAGUUAUAACUUAAGAUUUGAUGAGGAUGUAUUACAUUCCUACAUCUUUCUCUAGUAAUUUUCUCAUAAAUUUAGAAAACUUUUAGGUCCGAUUUUCACAGGUAUUUACUUAUUUGAUGGUUUUAACCAUAUAUGUGCUCUUCUAGCACGGUGUUAAAGUUACCAGAUAAUCUAUCACUUAGUUUUCAUCAAAAAAGAAAAAGGGUUAUAUCUAAUUGAUCUUAUAUGAAGAAUUGCAUAUUCAUUUAUAAUGCAUGAUCUAGGUUUGUGAUAUUUGGGUAGUUCAAUGCACAGGUAGUUUGUAUUGUUCUUUACGAAAAUCAGCUUUUGAUGAUUAUUUUUCUACCAUAGAAUUGGUCAACCUAUCAGAUUCUCAUCCCCACAUGUCACUGAUGAUUACUUCAAAAAAUUUCAUGUGAUGGCAUGCACUAUUUUUCACUGGCGAAAACUUAUAAUGCUUUCAUAAGGUCAUAACUUCUGUUGUAGGGUAAAACAAGACCAGGAUAAAACUGGUAUGGCUUGGUUCGAUGGUUCACAUAUGUGCAUUUAAUGUGUAUUCCUUAUUGAACCGUGUUUAUGUUUGCCUACCCAGGGAGGUAGGUGUACAAUUGAAAUCAGUUUAUUAUCCUUUUCAAUCAUCACUUUAGGUAGAUGGAAAAUACCGAAUAUACAUUGUGAUAGACCACUGCUUAAUUAGUAUAUUGAUUAAUUAGUGGCAUUGCAAUUCACUGCCACAAAUCCUCUCAAAGUUGAUGGUGGCUUUGCUUCACUAAGGUACCAACAAUCCUGUUUCUCCUUUUUGUUGCAACACUUUUUGAUGCUGCACUAAAUCAUGUUUAUUCUGUCAAUGUAAAAUUUCUGCAUGUCCAUCUUCUAAUGCUUUUAUGUUUUGACCUUUAGUUAAUGAUGCCAUUUUAUACUCUGUUAAAUUAACAUGGUGGCUAUUGGAGAAAGAUAGUUGUAACUGAUAGCUUCUGUGGAAAUAAAAGGAGUAUAUAAAAAUAAGAUGUGCACUUUUGUUUUAUAGAUUCUUCUGGCCAGCCCAAUGAUAAUAGAUUGAUUCCAUGCAGCCCCAUAGUUAGUGAUCUUUUAGUAAUUUGAUUUAUCCCUUUAUCUUACUUACAUGUCACUGUGAAUAAUGUGAUUCAUUUGUCCACAGAUUGGUCUUGCAAAGUUAUAGAAGGUGUUGUGGUGGUCUUGCAGAGCAAGGUGUGGCUGUGUAUUCUGUUAUGCUUGUGUUGAAAUGUCACCAGAGAAGGAAAACACUGCUCUGGAGGAAAAUCAACAGAUGGAGGAAGAUGGCAAACUGAUACAAGAAUCUUUGAGAGACCAUCAAUAGGAACAACAAAAUGUGGUGAAAGCCAACAGACGAUAAGCGAAACGUCAGGUUCAGGAAGGAUACACCAGCAGGUAGUCCAACACCUUCUAGAGACUCUAAAGCUAGAAACAGAUGUGCUUAUUGGGUUGUCUCGCAACUAGUCUGAACUCUCUCUAGAAUUCAUAUAAAAACAAGGGACAAUCUUCAAUCUUAAUACCCAAUUAUGUUGGUGGAGUUUCCGUAUUAUUCUAUAACUCGUAAGUACAAUGGAGAUGAUAGAGAUCAACGCUGAUAAUUUUAUCCUUCUGUGGUUUACUAUGCAGAUUGCAAUGAAACAAUGAAGAAAAAUGCAUUAUCGAAUUUGGAUAGAUAUGACCUGGUGACGUACAUUACCCUGCAAAAAAAUGAUCUGAUUUAGCUUGUAGGAAACCUCUACGCAAGUACGCUAGGAAAGUAAGAGAAGAGCCAACUCACACCCAGAAAUUUUCUUACUGAUCAAUAGGAUCUGGAAAAUGGCUAAAUUUUUAGGCGUGACAAAGCGGUAUCAGAGUUUGUGGCGUGACAAAGUAGUAUUAGAGCUAACUUGACUAUAGGUUAAUUCAAUUGGUCAAAACCCCAAGGAUAUGUUUUCUGAAAACUUAACAAUGUCUCCUCCCAACCUCGAAGCUCUUUGCAAAAUGGUUUAUCAAUUUGCAAAGACCAUCUGAUAUCACCUUUGAUGAACUACCAAUUUGGGUCCAGGUGCAUGAUCUGCCCCCGAUGGUUUGGGAAGGUGAUUAACGUAGUUGUUGAUGAAGAUGGUAUUGCUUGGGAUAAGUUCCUUCAAACUAGAGUUAAUUUGAAUGUAAAUCAACCUCUGCCAAGGGGUAUUAACUGUUAAGCUCCGAGUGGAUGCAGAUGAUACGGAGGGGUAAUGGUAUGAGGUUCAGUAUGAAAAAAAUCCCUCACUUUUGCUUUGUCUGUGGAAGAUUAUUUCAUACAAAGGAGGGAUGCAAGACCGAGAAAGAGGAUAUUUUUAAAAAAAAAUCAGAAGUGAGUUGAGUGGUUGCGUGCAGAACAGGUGAAAACAAAGAGGGCUAGGCGGCUAGCAGUCAGUGAGCAAGAUCAGGUUCGGAGGGGAGCAGCUAUGGGAGCAAAGCGAGUUCUCCUGAUUAUGCACAGAGAUGCAAUGCAGUUGAUCGUGAUCUACCAAGAAGACAUCUUUUUACUUAGAAGAAUAAACCUGAUAAUAGUGCUGAGAGAGGAGGUGGAAAAGGAGUUGAAGAAGUAAUCAGUUCAGUGGGACAAACUAGGGUGUGGGACAGACUAGGUGAUGGUGAUGAUCUUAACAUGAAAAUUCAGCACUUUAAGAGGAAGCCAAGAGAUGUUGAAAGGUUGAAAGUUGAACGAGGUUAUCAGUGUAAUUAUUUAUUUGAUCAGUACCCACCAUGGGAUAGCCCGCUGUCAAGGAAGAGACCGUUAAAGCAAGUUUGGAGGAGGAAGAGACCUUAAUGGGGAAAUGUUGAUGAAAAGGCCCACAGGGAGUGCACGGGGGAGGGGGCGUUGUUGACGGUGGGAGGAUUUUCCACAUACGUUUGUUCAUUGUGUUCAAUCAGCAGAAAAGACU